rnacentral:rRNA from 1 species
GCGAAUCGCCCUUCGGGGUGCGCAGGCGCGAAAACUUUACAAUGCGGGAAACCGUGAUAAGGGGACACCGAGUGCCAGCAUCAUAUGCUGGCUGUCCGGGUGUGUAAAAUACACCCGUUAGCAAGGGCCGGGCAAGACCGGUGCCAGCCGCCGCGGUAACACCGGCGGCCCGAGUGGUGAUCGUGAUUAUUGGGUCUAAAGGGUCCGUAGCCGGUUUGGUCAGUCCUCCGGGAAAUCUGACGGCUCAACCGUUAGGCUUUCGGGGGAUACUGCCAGGCUUGGAACCGGGAGAGGUAAGAGGUACUACAGGGGUAGGAGUGAAAUCUUGUAAUCCCUGUGAGACCACCUGUGGCGAAGGCGUCUUACCAGAACGGGUUUGACGGUGAGGGACGAAAGCUGGGGGCACGAACCGGAUUAGAUACCCGGGUAGUCCCAGCCGUAAACGAUGCUCGCUAGGUGUCAGGCAUGGCGCGACCGUGUCUGGUGCCGCAGGGAAGCCGUGAAGCGAGCCACCUGGGAAGUACGGCCGCAAGGCUGAAACUUAAAGGAAUUGGCGGGGGAGCAC